UGCGUAGGCGGAAUGAUAAGUUAGUGGUGAAAGCCCCCGGCUCAACCGGGGAACUGCCAUUAAUACUGUCAUUCUUGAGUAUAGUUGAAGUGGGUGGAAUGUAUCAUGUAGCGGUGAAAUGCUUAGAUAUGAUACAGAACACCGAUAGCGUAGGCAGCUUGCUAAACUAUAACUGACGCUCAGGCACGAAAGCGUGGGGAGCAAACAGGAUUAGAUACCCUGGUAGUC
rnacentral:rRNA from 1 species